rnacentral:rRNA from 1 species
AGCGGCUUGGAACCACCUCUUCCCAUUCCGAACAGAGAAGUUAAACAAGCCAGCGCCGAUGAUA